CCUACGGGAGGCAGCAGUGGGGAAUAUUGGGCAAUGGAGGAAACUCUGACCCAGCGACGCCGCGUGCGGGAUGAAGGCCUUCGGGUUGUAAACCGCUUUCAGUAGGGAAGAAGCGAAAGUGACGGUACCUACAGAAGAAGCACCGGCUAACUAUGUGCCAGCAGCCGCGGUAAUACAUAGGGUGCAAGCGUUGUCCGGAAUUAUUGGGCGUAAAGAGCUCGUAGGUGGUUCGUCACGUCGGAUGUGAAAAUCUGGGGCUCAACCCCAGACCUGCAUUCGAUACGGGCGAUCUAGAGUGUGGUAGGGGAGACUGGAAUUCCUGGUGUAGCGGUGGAAUGCGCAGAUAUCAGGAGGAACACCAAUGGCGAAGGCAGGUCUCUGGGCCAUUACUGACACUGAGGAGCGAAAGCGUGGGGAGCGAACAGGAUUAGAUACCCUGGUAGUCCACGCCGUAAACGGUGGGCACUAGUUGUGGGAACCUUCCACGGUUUCUGCGACGCAGCUACGACAUAAGUAGCCCGCCCGUCGGGUAGGUACGAGUCGCGAGAAGUUAAACUAACGAAACGGAAGUUAGACGGCGUGAGACGUGGCGAGGACGACGACGAGGGAGGUAGG
rnacentral:rRNA from 1 species